UACGUAGGUGGCAAGCGUUAUCCGGAAUUAUUGGGCGUAAAGCGCUCGCAGGCGGUUUCUUAAGUCUGAUGUGAAAGCCCACGGCUCAACCGUGGAGGGUCAUUGGAAACUGGGAAACUUGAGUGCAGAAGAGGAGAGUGGAAUUCCACGUGUAGCGGUGAAAUGCGUAGAGAUGUGGAGGAACACCAGUGGCGAAGGCGACUCUCUGGUCUGUAACUGACGCUGAGGAGCGAAAGCGCGGGGAGCGAACAGG
rnacentral:rRNA from 1 species